ACGGGAGGCAGCAGUGAGGAAUAUUGGUCAAUGGGCGAGAGCCUGAACCAGCCAAGUAGCGUGAGGGAUGACUGCCCUAUGGGUUGUAAACCUCUUUUGUUCGGGAAUAAAGUGCGGGACGUGUCCCGCUUUGCAUGUACCGUUCGAAUAAGCAUCGGCUAAUUCCGUGCCAGCAGCCGCGGUAAUACGGAAGAUGCGAGCGUUAUCCGGAUUUAUUGGGUUUAAAGGGAGCGUAGGCCGUGCUUUAAGCGUGUUGUGAAAUGUAGGCGCCCAACGUCUGCACUGCAGCGCGAACUGGAGCACUUGAGUACGCAGGAAGUAGGCGGAAUUCGUCGUGUAGCGGUGAAAUGCUUAGAUAUGACGAAGAACUCCGAUUGGGAAGCCAGCUUACUGUAGCGCCACUGACGCUGAUGCUCGAAAGCGUGGGUAUCGAACAGGAUUAGAUACCCUGGUA
rnacentral:rRNA from 1 species